AAAACUAAGGUGGGGAGGGGUCAUUUUUAUGGUAUGCUUGAUUGGUGUGCCAGGACCCAGAGACGGGGGCCAGGAGGACUUAGCGCAAGUCUGCAGAAGAGAAGCAACACAAGGGCCUCUCGCUCGAGAAGGGAAGUGCCUCGGACAAAUUAUGAAAGCUGGGUGAUCAUCCAUUUUUCAACUAGCUAGCGACUAGCUAGCGGGCAAACUCCCCCGACCGACCCAUAAAAUUUGUCCACUUGGUGAUGAAGUGCUGCAUCCGCGAGUGAAAAUACAAUAGUGUCUCCGUUCUGACCCGCACAGAUUCUCAGAUUUGUCAUUUACGGACCUUCAUACCAGACCUAGGUGGACGAACCCUAGAAUGUGGGGGUUCCCUGUCCAAUCGUGCCUUGCAUUUUCAAUGACAUUCAAGUCUCGGGAAAAGUCCUUGUUUCCAAGAUUUGUAGCCGCCUCAGUUUUUGGUUUGCAUGUUCAUUCCCAUCUUGAGCAUCAGAAGUCUGGACAGAGGACACCGCGAAGAUGAAAAAUGUAAAACUUCAGGCAUGUAAAUCCGGAUUUUGGCACAAACGCGAUGGGCGUCACCAUCUCGUCUCGCUUUGUCUCUCUCUCACACUCUGGGAUGUCAAAUUUCCACAAGAAGUACCUAUAUCAAUAAAUAGAUAAAUAAGUAUUUAGCCCCACCGCAACAUUCCUUCGCAGCAGAGGGCGCGACGUUGGGAAGUGGUUCAAUUCCAUCCGCUCCAAACAGACAAUUUCAAAGAAGGUUGAAGACGAGUGUGGAAAGUAUG